rnacentral:rRNA from 1 species
GAUGAACGCUGGCGGCAGGCCUAACACAUGCAAGUCGAACGAAGUCUUCGGACUUAGUGGCGGACGGGUGAGUAACACGUGGGAACGUGCCUUUAGGUUCGGAAUAACUCAGGGAAACUUGUGCUAAUACCGAAUGUGCCCUUCGGGGGAAAGAUUUAUCGCCUUUAGAGCGGCCCGCGUCUGAUUAGCUAGUUGGUGAGGUAAAGGCUCACCAAGGCGACGAUCAGUAGCUGGUCUGAGAGGAUGAUCAGCCACAUUGGGACUGAGACACGGCCCAAACUCCUACGGGAGGCAGCAGUGGGGAAUCUUGCGCAAUGGGCGAAAGCCUGACGCAGCCAUGCCGCGUGGAUGAUGAAGGUCUUAGGAUUGUAAAAUCCUUUCACCGGUGAAGAUAAUGACUGUAGCCGGAGAAGAAGCCCCGGCUAACUUCGUGCCAGCAGCCGCCGUAAGAC